rnacentral:rRNA from 1 species
GUAAUGCCUAGGAAUCUGCCUAGUGGUGGGGGAUAACGUUCGGAAACGGACGCUAAUACCGCAUACGUCCUACGGGAGAAAGCGGGGGACCUUCGGGCCUCGCGCCAUUAGAUGAGCCUAGGUCGGAUUAGCUAGUUGGUGAGGUAAUGGCUCACCAAGGCGACGAUCCGUAACUGGUCUGAGAGGAUGAUCAGUCACACUGGAACUGAGACACGGUCCAGACUCCUACGGGAGGCAGCAGUGGGGAAUAUUGGACAAUGGGCGAAAGCCUGAUCCAGCCAUGCCGCGUGUGUGAAGAAGGUCUUCGGAUUGUAAAGCACUUUAAGUUGGGAGGAAGGGUAGUAACUUAAUACGUUGCUACUUUGACGUUACCGACAGAAUAAGCACCGGCUAACUUCGUGCCAGCAGCCGCGGUAAUACGAAGGGUGCAAGCGUUAAUCGGAAUUACUGGGCGUAAAGCGCGCGUAGGUGGUUCAGUAAGUUGGAAGUGAAAUCCCCGGGCUCAACCUGGGAACUGCUUUCAAAACUGCUGAGCUAGAGUACGGUAGAGGGUGGUGGAAUUUCCUGUGUAGCGGUAAAAUGCGUAGAUAUAGGAAGGAACACCAGUGGCGAAGGCGACCACCUGGACUGAUACUGACACUGAGGUGCGAAAGCAUGGGGAGCAAACAGGAUUAGAUACCCUGGUAGUCCACGCCGUAAACGAUGUCAACUAGCCGUUGGGAGUCUUGAACUCUUAGUGGCGCAGCUAACGCAUUAAGUUGACCGCCUGGGGAGUACGGCCGCAAGGUUAAAACUCAAAUGAAUUGACGGGGGCCCGCACAAGCGGUGGAGCAUGUGGUUUAAUUCGAAGCAACGCGAAGAACCUUACCUGGGCCUUGACAUGCUGAGAACUUUCUAGAGAUAGAUUGGUGCCUUCGGGAACUCAGACACAGGUGCUGCAUGGCUGUCGUCAGCUCGUGUCGUGAGAUGUUGGGUUAAGUCCCGUAACGAGCGC